UUCGGGCCAAACAGCCAAUGACCAAGGGAAAGCUGGGGCAAAGGAGAGGCUCACACAGUGCCAAAGGAACAAAAAGGUUUUGGUCGACAAUAGAGGUGGAUGCAGUUGAAGAUACCUUGAUGAAUUUUAUCCGACUGGGAAAAACGCCUGGAAAACAAGACUGUGAGAAAUGCAUUGCUGCUUCUGGCCAAGCGCUAGUAAACAGGGACUGAAGAGCAGUAAAGUUCUAUGUACACAACAGAAUAGUUGCAGAUCAGAGAAAAUAAAUGGAUGCUUCUAUCUUGGUGUACCUCUGAGGAUUUAAUGGGAUUUACUUGACUUAAGCUCAUAGGCAGUUGAUGAAUGUCCUCCAUCUCACUCUGUUUGGGGGAAGUUUUCCCAGGUGGGUUGUUCACUUUUGGAGUGACUAAGGUCUCAAGAAUACAAAGCCUGCUGACUUUGAAUGUUACAGAAAAAUAAAAUACAUUUUUCUAAA